rnacentral:rRNA from 1 species
UACAGAGGGGGCAAGCGUUGCUCGGAAUUACUGGGCGUAAAGGGCGCGUAGGCGGGCAUCCAAGUCUGUGGUGAAAUCCGGCGGCUUAACUGUCGAACUGCCGUGGAUACUGGGUGUCUCGAGGGAGGUAGGGGCGUGCGGAACUAUUGGUGGAGCGGUGAAAUGCGUAGAGCUCGGGAAGAACAUCGGUGGCGAAAGCGCUCUACUGGACUGCAACUGACGCUCAGGGACGAAAGCUAGGGGAGCGAAUGGG